rnacentral:rRNA from 1 species
ACACGACUACAUUAGAUACCCGUGUAGUCCUAGCCGUAAACGAUACUCGCUAGGUAUCGGCCACGGUGCGACCGUUGUCGGUGCCGUAGGGAAGCCGUGAAGCGAGCCACCUGGGAAGUACGGCCGCAAGGCUGAAACUUAAAGGAAUUGGCGGGGGAGCACCACAACGGGUGGAGCUUGCGGUUUAAUUGGAUUCAACGCCGGAAAUCUUACCGGGACCGACAGCAACAUGAAGGCCAGGCUGAAGACCUUGCCGGAUUAGCUG